GACGAACGCUGGCGGCGUGCUUAACACAUGCAAGUCGAACAGUGGCGAACGGGUGAGUAACACGUGAGUAACCUGCCCUCCACUUUGGGAUAACUCCGAGAAAUCGGGGCUAAUACUGGAUAGUGGGGGAUGGGCUUGGGGCCUAUCAGUUUGUGGGUGAGGUGGUGGUCACCAAGGCGUGACGGGUAGCCGGACUGGGAGGGCGACCGGCCACACUGGGAUUGAGACACGGCCCAGACUCAUACGGGAGGCAGCGGUGGGGACUAUUGCACAAUGGGCCAAAUGCUGAGGCAGGGACGCCGCGUGGGGGAGGACGGCUUUCGGGUUGUAAAGCUCUUGAAGCAAGGAAGCGGUACUUGCCGAAGAAGCGCCGGCUAACUACGUGCCAGCAGCCGCGGUAAUAC
rnacentral:rRNA from 1 species